rnacentral:rRNA from 1 species
UACGUAGGGGGCAAGCGUUGUCCGGAAUCAUUGGGCGUAAAGCGCGUGUAGGCGGCCCGGUAAGUCCGCUGUGAAAGUCGGGGGCUCAACCCUCGAAUGCCGGUGGAUACUGUCGGGCUAGAGUGCGGAAGAGGCGAGUGGAAUUCCUGGUGUAGCGGUGAAAUGCGCAGAUAUCAGGAGGAACACCGAUUGCGAAGGCAGCUCGCUGGGACGUAACUGACGCUGAGACGCGAAAGCGUGGGGAGCAAACAGG